UGUAUUUAAACCCUGGUUCUGAGCUCAAAAUAAAGCACUUUCCCACAUGACUGUGGGGACGAGCACUUCUGUGCUGUUUGGAAUUUUUAUAAUUAAAAAACAAAUACUGCCACAUUGAUGCGCAAGAAGGUUUAAUUGUUCAAAUAUUGUUUCAUAUUAAAAUAUAUAUAAAAAAUUGUUUUCAAUAUAAAAAAAAGUGUUUUCAAGUGUAAUAUUUCUGUAAAGGGACAGAAAAGUGGACUUUUCUGUAGAAUGACCCAUUCAUUGUAAAAUGAAGUAAAUAUUAAAAAUGAACAACUUUCAUGUUAGCCUAUGGGAAAAAAUAAUGGAGUAACUUCAACCUACUAACUAAUUAAAGAUGUCAUCAGAUCAUGUGUGCUUUCAGCAGUUAUCAUUUUAAACAUCAAAAUCAUGAUGCCCCCCAAUAGUAGGCUACUGAAUAUAAGAUGUGGGAUAAUAUAAGAAUGGGACAUUUUAUCCAAGUCAUCUCAAUGGUAAAAAGUGUCCCAAUCACCCUGAACUGGAGCUCUAAAAUAAUGUUAUUGACUUCAACUGAUGAAUGCAGCCAAAGAAAAGAUGAAGAAUGGAAAAGCACUUUGCUGGCAAAGAAAUUGGAAAAUAACACAGGUUACGCGCAUGUAUCCAUGGCAACGCUCGGCGUCGACAGUUAACGGUCCUGCCGGUGAUUUUCUCAGAUGAGGCCUUGAGUUUUCUCUUUCGUCGGUCAAAAAGGUUAGAAGCCAUCGAAAAAACUGCCAUCGGACUACCACAGCUGACAACGAGAGACGCGCGUGCACAACUGCAUAACACACACACACACACACACACACACACACACACACACACGGAAAGAGCACAACAAUUAUGAAACUGAUAAUUUAUUAUAAAUAAAUAAAUGUAUUUUUUCUCCUUACAACGUGUUUGUGUUCUUUUGUUAACCUAGAAGUAAAAUAAAAAACAAUAAGAGGACUUAAUCGAAAGUCCCCUAAACGUCCCGAAUGGCCGCUGAACGUCCUGUGAACGUCCCCGUGAAUGUCCGGAGGACGUCUUUGCGGACGUCCCCGGGACAGCCAGAGGACCCUACACAUGGACGUUCGGGGGACGUUCGCAGAGGCCAUUCAGGGGACGUUCUGGGGACCUUUUUUUGUUAG